rfam:Canis lupus familiaris chromosome 5, whole genome shotgun sequence.
GCCUGGGUGGCUCAGUGGUUGAGCGUCUGCCUUUGACUCAGGUGGUGAUUCUAGGGUCCUGGGAUUGAGUCCCACAUCAGGCU